GAAAAUGAUCGAAAAAACGGACAACGAAAUCAAUGCGAAUAUGAAAAUGAAAUGUGUGUGCACUUUUGUUAGAUUAAUAUGCAAAGCUGCUCGUAUCGGUCAACAUAGGUAGGCUGGACUGUACCAAAUUUAUAUCUUUCGAGUUAAGAGCUUUAGUAUGGCCACUACACACAGCUACAGCAAAUGAUUUCGACCUUUUUCAGGGAGUUCUCCCAAGUGAUACAAUAAUAAUAAUAAUGUAAAUAUAUAUAGUAUAAGUAUUGUAUAUAAGUAUGUAUAAUAUAGUUGUAUAUAUAUAGUAAAAAAAAGCCACUUAAGACUAAAUCGACUACAAUUAAUAUGGAAUGCGUAUUUCAUGCAUUUUCAAUUAUGAUUAUUAAGCCACGUUGCG